ACGAACGCUGGCGGCAGGCUUCACACAUGCCAGUCGAGCGCAUCCUUCGGGGUGAGCGGCGGACGGGUGAGUAACGCGUGGGAACGUGCCCUCUUCUACGGAAUAGCCUCGGGAAACUGAGAGUAAUGCCGUAUACGCCCGCAAGGGGAAAGAUUUAUCGGAGGAGGAUCGGCCCGCGUUGGAUUAGGUAGUUGGUGGGGUAACGGCCUACCAAGCCGACGAUCCAUAGCUGGUUUGAGAGGAUGAUCAGCCACACUGGGACUGAGACACGGCCCAGACUCCUACGGGAGGCAGCAGUGGGGAAUCUUGGACAAUGGGGGCAACCCUGAUCCAGCCAUGCCGCGUGAUCGAUGAAGGCCUUAGGGUUGUAAAGAUCUUUCAGCUGGGAAGAUAAUGACGGUACCAGCAGAAGAAGCCCCGGCUAACUCCGUG
rnacentral:rRNA from 1 species